AAUAUCCCAGUCCUAAAAAAAAAAAAGUUCUAACUGAGCAACGUGAAGCUGUUACUCAAUUCUAAUAGUUUCACAUUUAAAGCAAAUUCAUACACAGAUUUCUCAUUCUGUAUCGGCAAACAGAUGGUGAGAAACUAGUUAGUGAAGCCAAUGAGUCGGAGGUCUCUCCAAAAUAUAGGAAGGUCGAAAAGAGAGGUUGUUAACCAGAUGACUGAUAGGAGCAUACAGAUGUAGAACGUGCAAAGGUCAGGAUGUUUAAUAACUUCAGAAAUUAAGAGACAAAAGAGUAAAAGCAAGAAACAGAAAGAUUUAUUGAAGACAGAAAAAGUAUGAGCAUCUAUAUCAAAAGAAGGUUAAGCUCUCAAGAGGGCAAUUACAUUUUCAGACACAAUGUGUUGGAAUCUCUUUUAAUAUUGUGUAAUAAAAAAAAAAAGGCUCUACACUGAGCUGAAUGUCUGCUAUAACCUUAUCAAAAUAUACAUGUUUGACGCAGAAAUUACAUUGAUUUUCAAUUACUUGUACAAAACUAAUUAUAUACAGUAGCCCUCACCCACUCCGUUUCUCAACAUUACAUCCAUACUGGGAAAAACAAGGAAGUUUAACUAACGCAAUAGAAAGGAGCUCUGUUGCUACUUUAAGACUUUUGUUUGGUUCUGUUCUCAGAUAACAGAAAUAAUAAUUUGAUACAUACUUAAGGCCAAAAAAGCCUGCAAUGUCUUCUCUAAUUUGUAAUAAUUUCUUUUAAGAUCUUGUUGCAUUCUGUAAACAAAGGCAAUAAUAUACACAUACGCCUUCAAUUUUUUUCCGCCUUCUGCCCACUGAAAUCAAAGCGGUUGAUAAAACAAUGUCGCUGCACAGUAAAGAUACAAGAUAUCAAAAACAGGCUCGCAAAACAGGGAAGAUGCUUUGGUCCAUUAUGCUACUCUUCAGGAAAAAAAAUAAAAAAAAACAGAAAAAAAACAAAUUAAUACCCACCCAUACAAGCUUAACACCUCCAACACACCAAUAUUCUGCUAAAUUGCAAAGGAUAAAAUAAACUAAGAAUUUCCCCCCAUAGUACAAGUUGAAAAGUAAAAGGGAAUGUCUGCGCAUCAAGACUCAUGCCACAAUAAACAUGAAAUGGAUGCAUCAGAAAGAACAAGGCCUUAAUAUUUCCCCCCACACAAAGAAGUGCUAUAAACAGUCUGAAGUCUUAUCACAGGUGUUGCGGUUCACACAAAACGUCACACAGGAGAUUAAGACUCUGCAAUGCUAAUAUUCUUUAACACAAAAGGCAAGUGACAGAAAUGGACACAGUAGAAACAUGCGCUCUGGAAGGUCCAAAUUAACGGUUUACAAGUUCAUUAUAACUCGUGAACUUUACUUCCUUUGCCACACUAAACAUAUAACCAAAAUGAUGUAAAGCAGUUGCAAGCGGUUUUGUAAUCAACAAAACUUUCAAUAAGCAACAGGGAAAAGUGUGUGUGUGUCCAAUGCCCAAAAAGAUGAUACAGUAUACAAAUGCGUGAGACUUAUAUGGAAUGAAACUAAAGAAUAUAGAAUAUCUUAGAAAAUGGUAAAUAAGGAGUAGGAA